GUUUCUGUAGUUGAAUAACAACGGCGGUUUUUCAAGUCGUUAGUUCUGGUUAGAGUCCAGGCGGAAAUU
rnacentral:tRNA from 1 species